UUACCACUUAAUGCUCAGCUCCAAUCUCGCGUCCUACGCCGCGUCUUCAAGUCAUAGUUACUUCGUCAUCAUGUCAGAUGGCAUCAUGUCAUCGAGUCAUCACGUCAUUGCGUCAAUGUCAUCCUGUCAAAAAAUUCAGCCAGAACAAAUAUAAUUAAAAGGUAUUUUAGUAUUAUUUACAAAGAAUAAUAAUAAUAGAAUAAUAAUAUAGUUCGGUUUAGUUAAUUUCGGAAUAUAAAAGAUCAAACAGAAUCCUACUAGACCUAAAUAUGCUACACUAUAAAUAGAGAGAAUAAGGAUAAAAAAUCAGAAAAAAAAAUAAAAACCCUAAUUCUCUCUCCCUCUCAGCCGUCACUCCCAUUUUUUUUCUCUCUCUCUCUCUCUCUCAGUUCUCUCUCCUCUCUCUUGGUCUUCUCCUCUCUUGUCGCCUCCUCUGAACCUUCGACGAGGUUAGCGUGCGAGCGAAGUGCGAAGGGUGUGCGUGUUUGGUGCGAGCGAGUACGGAGUCCGAUGGUCGUAUUCGAGUGCUGCGACGAGGUCUCGUUCGAAGGUCAGUUCGAGGGUGCGAAGUGUGAGGGCGAGUGUACGUCGUCGUGUGUGUUGCAAGUGACGAGGAUUGGACGAGUGUGUUCGAGCGCGCGCGCUGUGCGAGAGGAGCGUGCAAGGCUUUUCGAGCGUUCGAGCGAGGGGGGGGGUUGUGUGCGACUGCUGGUGCGAGAGGGCUGGUGCGAUUGUGUUGCUGUUGUGCGAACCAGCGAGGAGGUGGUGCGACCAGUGUUCCGAGGCUUGUGCAAAUUCGAUUGGUGCGACAAGUUGUCGUGCGAAUUUGGUUAUGCGACAAAUCUGGUUGCGGGAUGCUAGUGGUGCGAGAUGUUUGUGCGACAAACCUGGUUGUGCGCGCGGAAGUAGUUCGCGAGUGUGGUGGUGUGCGUCGGUCUCCGGUGUUCGGUUGCCGGCGAGUUUAGAGGUACAUGAAGGUAAUGUAUAAUGAAGAAGGUUCGAUGUUGGAAGUUUGUUGUAUGCUUUAUACUAUUUGUAUCGCGGCGAGGACGAUCAACUUUGUAAUAUUAUAGUUAAUAGUUAAUUUGUAAUUGAAUUAAAAAGGUUUGAGUUUGUAAAGUCUAGACUUGUUUGGGUUGCUGGAUUUUGAGGAUAUAGGAUUACGAAUCGGACGCGAGUCCUAAAUUAAGUUUUAGGCGGUCCAUAUUACAAAUGGAACUUUGCCGAAUUUUCUGUAGAAUUUUAAUAAUAUAUCUAGUUGUUUAAAAUA